rnacentral:rRNA from 1 species
CUGAAUAACUAUGCUGAUCGCACAGUCCACGCACUGGCGACGUAUCUUUCAAAUGUCUGCCUUAUCAACUUUCGAUGGUAGUUUACACGGCUACCAUGGUUUUCACGGGUAACGGAGAAUUAGGGUUCGACUCCGGAGAGGGAGCCUGAGAAACGGCUACCACAUCCAAGGAAGGCAGCAGGCACGCAAAUUACCCACUCCCGGCACGGGGAGGUAGUGACGAAAAAUAGCGAGACGGUUCUCUAAGAGGCCCGUCAUCGAAAUGGGUACAAUUUAAAUCCUUUAACGAGGAUCUAUUGGAGGGCAAGUCUGGUGCCAGCAGCCGCGGUAAUUCCAGCUCCAAAAGCGUAUAUUAAAGUUGUUGCGGUUAAAAAG